CGUGAACUGUCAAAUGUCAUAUAGCCUCACACAGUUGAAAAUAGUGAAAAAAGUAAUCGGUUGACAGGUCUGCAUCUCGUAAGAUAUCGGAAGCCGUGUGACUUGGCCACAUCGCUCGGAAGUCUGAAGUACUAGAAAAAACCGCCAUCUGCUACCUUAAGACAUUUGUCAAUUUUUGUCUGCAUCUCGUAAGAUAUCGGAAGCCGUGUGACUUGGCCACAUCGCUCGGAAGUCUGAAGUACUAGAAAAAACCGCCAUCUGCUACCUAAAUGAUUAUGG